rnacentral:rRNA from 1 species
CCUACGGGGGGCAGCAGUGGGGAAUAUUGCACAAUGGGGGGAACCCUGAUGCAGCGACGCCGCGUGAGGGAAGAAGGAUUUCGGUACGUAAAGCUCUAUCAGCAGGGAAGAAAAAAGGACGGUACCUGAGUAAGAAGCCCCGGCUAACUACGUGCCAGCAGCCGCGGUAAUACGUAGGGGGCAAGCGUCAUCCGGCAUUACUGGGUGUUAAGGGAGCGGAGACGGCAAUGCAAGUCGGGAGUGGAAUG